rnacentral:rRNA from 1 species
GAAUAAUAUUAGUUUAUCAUUUCAGUUUAAAGUUCUUAUCAAUCUUUUAUCUAAAGACUGUAACCAGUUUGAGUACUAACCUAUUCGGUUUAGGUUAAGUUGAUAUGAAGGCUUAAUUAUGUUUUAAUUUAAGAUGGCGAUCCUAAGGGAAACCUUAUUAUUAUUACUUCCUGAAACAAAACAUUGUAGUAAGGAAAGGAAAGGAAAUCAACUGAGACUCUGAAAGUAACGGCGAGUGAAAUCAGACUAGCCAAAUCAUCAAAUAUCUAAGCUAUUAUUAAUUAUACGUAGGCCGUAUAUUCAUCUCUAGCCCACCUAGGGCUAGAUAAUAAGUAAUAUUACAUUAAUGAUAUUAUUUAACCAUAGAAGGUGAUAGUCCUGUUAUAGCUAAAAAUUAAUAAUUAUUAAAAAAUAAUACAACUUAAUUGUAAUAUUAUUAAGAUGAUAUUUGUUGAUAUAUAAGUACAACGGAAGAUACUCUGUUGGAAUAUAAGGGGAACCAUCCUCUAAGGCUAAGUAUUAUAAAUUUAGCGAUAGUGAAUAAGUACUGUAAAGGAAAGUCAUGUUUUGAAUAAGAGUUAGUUUUAACUCUUGACUAGUUAUUCUUAAUUUUUUAAAAAUUAUUAAGAUAUAAAUGUUAUAGUGAACUUAAAAAAUAAGUAUGAAAUAGUAGCUCUAUAAGCAAUUAGAAUUUAACUUAAUAUGUUUAACGUUAAAUGAUAAUGUACCUUUUGCAUAAUGGGUCAGCAAGUUAAUAGUAGUAGCAAGGUUAAAAUCCCUAGCGAAAGCGACUGUUUCUAAUUAAGAAUCGGGUUAAGUUACUACUAUUAGACCCGAAAUGAGGUGAUCUUGCCAUGAUCAGGUUAUAAUGGACCGAACGGGUGAAUGUUGCAAUAUUCUCCGAUGAAUUGUGGUAAGUAGGUGAAAGACUAAUCAUACCUCUAUAGCUGGUUUUCCACGAAAGAUAUUUAAGUAUCACAUCAUUCUAAAAUUUUAAGAUUUAGGAGGGUACAGCACGUUGAAUUUCAGACGAAAGUCAAAUUGGGGGGCCUUGAAAUCCUACCUUUGAAAAUUAACCUCGGAAUAUCCUAAAUUGAUGAAUGAUAGUCAGACUAUUCAUGAUAAGGUGGGUAGUCAAAACGUAAACAGACGUGAGCACGUGUUUAAGGUUCCCCAAAACCGUUUAAGUGAAAUUAAGGAAGUUUUCCCCUGGAUACAACUAUUAAGUUAGCCUGGUAGUCGCGAUCUUUUAAAGAGUGUGUAACAACUCAUUAGUCUAAGUUGGGGGAAAGCGCCGAAAAUUUAACGGGUCUUAAAACGGUUACCGAUACCGUGCUAUUUUAAUUAUAUUAUUCUAGUAUAAUUGGAAUAGGUAGUGGAACAUUCAGAGCGGACGAAAAAUAGUGUUUCAUUAUUUGGACGUAACUGAAGAGAUAAUGCUGACAUGAGUAACGUAGAAAGAAGUUAUAAUACUUCUCGCCGAAUACGAAAGGGUUAUUAAGCAAGGUUAAACCUCUUAAUGUGAUAUCGGUCUCUAAGGUUAUAGACGAAUGUUUAAACUGAUGAGUGUUUGUUCAAAUUUUUCAGUUGCUUGGUGUUAAGUUAGCAAAAAUUGUUUAAUCAUUAUUUGUUAACGACUUGAGUUGAGCUAGAAGCUUUAGCAACUGAACUUGAAGAAUAGUAGACAAUCAGGAUCGACUAGCGUUAAUAAUAAUCGUAACUAUUUACUUAAAACGGUAAAUGGUUAUUAUUAAUUACUAAAAUUAUUGAAUUAAAUUAAUUAUAAUUAUAAUCUUUUUUUUGUAAUUGAUUAUAGUACUUAUUAGCUAUGAUUCGCGAUGUUGUAGCAGGAUCCUGCAUAGUAAAAACCUUUUAAUCUAAGGAUCUACUAUGAUUGAUACCGUACCCUAAACCGACACAGGUUCGUAGGUACAGAAUACUAAGGCGAAGAGAUAAUACUUGUAAAGGAACUCGGCAAACUUUCCUCAUAAGUUAGACGACAUGAGGAGCCGUCUAAAGGACGGUGGCACAGAAUCGGAACCCCCGACUGUUUACUUAAAACACAGAUAUCUGCGAUGAUUAAAUUAUUUGUAUAGAUGUCGAAUUUUGCCCAAUGCCAUUAAUAUAAAGAAGGUGAGUUUAAUUUACCGACUGAAAAUCUGGUCAAUGGCGGUCUUAACUAUAAGGAUCCAAAGGUAGCAAAAUUCAUUGUCCGCUAAAUACGGUCCUGCAUGAAUAAAGUAACGAUGGGUUCACUGUCUCUACAAGUAUCUCAGUGAAAUUGAAAUAGCCGUGCAGAUGCGGUUUGCUUAUGGUUAGACGGGAAGACCCUAUGCAACUUUACUGUAAAUUGUUAUCAUUUUUUUUUAAUAUAGGUGUAGCAAUAUAAGGCAAUCGACAAGAUAAAAGUGAAAGACCUUAACUAUUAUUAAUUAAAUAUUAACCCCGAGGGCGAGAAACGCUGUUAUUAAUUAGUAUGAAACUAGUUAUAAUUACCUUAUUUAAUAAUAGCAAAUGACGUUAAUAGGGAGAUAUAUGACAAUUUGGCAGUUUGUCUGGGGCGGACGUCUUUAAUAGAGUAUCAAAGACACCCAAAAUUUAAUUAUAUUUUUAUAUUUAUAUCUUUCUAUAUUAACUGUUACUUUGUUAACUAUCACCUAUCACUCAGCCCCAUCUUAACUGAUAGGGUGACAACAGUGAUAGGUGAAUGAGUCCUAACGGGAGAGGGUGAUGGUGAGUGAAAGAAUAUUAAUAAAUAUAACAAUAUAUUUAUUAUGUUAAGUUAACAAUUUAAAGGUUUGCUAAAAUCGGAUGGAGACCGAUUAACUAUGUAUGGUUAAGAAGGUGUAAUGGCUAAAGCAAGCUUGACUGAGUGACCAAUAAGUCAAACAGAUACGUAAGUAGGGCAUAGUGACCCGGCGAUAUAUUAUGGAAUAGUCGUCGAUAAAUAGAUAAAAGUUACGCUAGGGAUAACAGGUUAGUCGCGGUUGAGAGUUCAUAUGGACACCGCGGUUCGACACCUCGAUGUCGACUCAUCCUAUCCUCCGGGUGUAGGUGCUUGGAAGGGUUCGGCUGUUCGCCGAUUAAAAGGGUACGUGAGUUGGGUUCAAUACGACGUGAGUCAGUAUGGAUCCUAUCUUCCAUAAGGAAAAAAAGUCAAAGGGGAAGGGCCUCUCAGUACGAAAGGAUCAGAUGGCUGUGUUUCUAUAGUGUACCAAUUGUUAGAUCGGUAUUAGUUUAAAGGAACUGUGAUGUUUAUUAGUUUUCUUUUUUAAGCUAAAUAACGUAUUAUUAAAUAGAGCGUUAAAAUUCUAGUAUGCUUAUAAUUAAUAAGUUUCAAGUAUUUAAUAUAGGUUAUGUAAUUAAUAUUUUUACAAAGAAUUUAUACAAAGUAGAAGAUCUGGCAUCGUUGGGUAGCCACAAACAUAACGGAUAAGAGCUGAAAGCAUAUUAAGCACGAAACCGUUCCCUAGAGACUAAUAAAACAAUUUAUAAUUAGCUGAUAAGUUACAUAAUUUAACUUUAUUUUAAGAAUUAGUCAUUAAUUUUGGAUAAUAGUUUAAUUAUUUAAUGUCUCCUAUACAAAAAUUAAAAA